AUGAAACCUAACAAAGCACCUGGACCUGACGGAUUUGCUAUAGAAUUUUAUCAGAAGUACUGGCAUAUAAUUGGAGUGGACAUUUUGGAGCUUUUCGGUGAUUUUUAUGAAGGAAAAUUAGAUUUAGCUAGAUUUAAUUAUGGUGUCCUUAUGUUAAUUCCAAAAUGUGCUGACGCUCAAACUUUACAACAAUAUAGACCAAUCUGUUUGCUGAAUGUAAUUUUCAAGAUUUUUACAAAAGUUAUAAAUAAUAGAGCUAUUACGGUAGCUGAUAAGAUUAUAGCUCCUGUGCAAACAGCUUUUAUUAGAGGAAGGUGUUGGGGAACGUAG
rnacentral:rRNA from 1 species